rnacentral:rRNA from 1 species
UUAGGAAUAUUCGUCAAUGGGGGAAACCCUGAACGAGCAAUGCCGCGUGAGUGAUGACGGUCUUAUAGAUUGUAAAACUCUGUUGUAAAGGAAGAAAUCUUAUCAUAGGGAAUGAUGAUAAGUUGACGGUACUUUGCCAGAAAGCCCCGGCUAACUACGUGCCAGCAGCCGCGGUAAUACGUAGGGGGCGAGCGUUAUCCGGAUUUAUUGGGCGUAAAGCGUGUGUAGGCGGUUUAUUAAGUCUAAAAUCAAAGCCUGAGGCUUAACCUCAGUUAGUUUUAGAAACUGGUAGACUUGAGUGUGGUAGAGGCAAGUGGAAUUUCUAGUGUAGCGGUUAAAUGCGUAGAUAUUAGAAGGAACACCAGUGGCGAAGGCGGCUUGCUGGGCCAUUACUGACGCUGAGACACGAAAGCGUGGGGAGCAAAUAGG